GUUGACGCUGGCGGCGGGCUUAACACAUGCAAGUCGAACGAGCGGCGGACGGGUGAGUAAUGUCUGGGAAACUGCCUGGUGGUGGGGGAUAACUUCCGGAAACGGUCGCUAAUACCGCAUACCAUCAGAUGUGCCCAGAUCGGAUUAGCUAGUUGGUGGGGUAAAGGCUUACCAAGGCGACGAUCCCUAGCUGGUCUGAGAGGAUGACCAGCCACACUGGAACUGAGACACGGUCCAGACUCCUACGGGAGGCAGAAGUGGGGAAUAUUGGACAAUGGGCGAAAGCCUGAUGCAGCCAUGCCGCGUGUGUGAAGAAGGCCUUCGGGUUGUAAAGUACUUUCAGCUGGGAGGCGUUACCAGCAGAAGAAGCACCGGCUAACUCCGUGCCAGCAGCCGCGGUAAUAC
rnacentral:rRNA from 1 species